AAGUCGUAACAAGGUUUCCGUAGGUGAACCUGCGGAAGGAUCAUUAACACUUUUUAAUACUAAUACUACGGGGGAAAAGAAGAAUGCCUAAAUUUCCUUUUAGGUUAUUCUCUCUUUUUCUCUCUUUUUUUUUUCACCCCGAAAAAAAGCGAACAUGUUGGUGGGAUGAAUCAACUUGAUUUAUUUCCCGCACUUUUUCCUUUUCCUUUUUUAUUAUUAUCAUUCACCACAUGAACUUUUUCUAAGACUUAACUUUUUUUUAAUUUCUUUUGGGGUUCUUUCCCCAAAAAAAUUAAAAAAUUAAAACUAAAAAACUUAAAAAACUCUUAGCAACGGAUAUCUUGGUUCUC
rnacentral:misc_RNA from 1 species